rnacentral:lncRNA from 1 species
AUGGAUGGUAUAUGUAUAUUUUAUAAUACUAAAGUUUUUGAUCUAUUAUUUUUUGACGAAGUUAUAUAUAAUCAAUCUGUUGUUUUUAAUAAAUGGCAUGUAGGUUUAAUAGUAGCAUUGAGAAAUAUACGUUCAAGGGGGAAAGAUGUUGAAGAUAGCGAAUUAGGGGUAGGUUUUGAUAAGUACAUACCUAACAGUGGAACAAACGAAGUGAAUGAAACAUACGAAGUGAACGAUAUAGUUAUAGUUUCUAAUACACACUUAAUAUUUGACUCGAGUAAAGGGGAUAUUAAACUAUAUCAAUUAUGUUAUAUGACAUAUCGCAUACUUGUUAUGAUGCAUAGAUGUAUAGAAUAUUUAAAAGUUUGUAACAAAAAAGAAAAACGUAUAAAAUUGAAAGAAAUAUCGAAUAAAGAUAAUGUAAUAAAUAAUGCAACGUUUGAUAUUGUAACAGACGAAUCUGUAAAGAAUAAUUAUUUGGCUUAUAAAAAGAUAACCAAUGGAGAAAUAAAUAAAACAAGGAGAAAUGGGAUAAAGAACACACAUACUGGCAAACAUACAGAGAAACAUAUGGACACAUCUGAUAGCAAUGACACUAUCCUUACACCCAGUAUAAUUUUUUGUGGCGAUUUUAAUUUAACGCCAAACAGUAUGUUAUACUAUUAUAUAAUUAAUAGAUAUAUAAAUAUAAAAGAUAUAAAUAUAACUAAACUAUCUGGACAGUAUUUAAUGUUCGAAAAAAAAUUUUAUUAUGAUAGUUUUUUAAAUGGAAAAGAAAUUAAAAAAAUGUUUAAUAAUAAUAUAUUACAAGAUUUAAGGGCUAAAGAAUAUAAUAAUAAGUUUAUAGAAAAUUUUAAAAAAGAAGCUUUAUUUUUUUUAUUUAAAAAUGAAAAAAUAUUAAAAGAAAAAUAUUUAAAAUAUAUAUUUUGUAAAAAAAAAGGUACGUAUUUAACAAACUAUAAUUCACCCAGUUCUCUUAUUUUUAGUGAUGAACAAAAUAGUACAGAUAAUAAUAUAAACUUCUCACCUUGUAAUAAAAAUAUAAAAAACAAACAUAUUUUAAAUAGAAAAAUGAAGGAUAAAAAUAUGAGUUUUAAUGCGGAUAGCUUAAAUGAGCAAAAUGAGCAACAGGAGCAAAAAGAGCAACAGAAGCAAAAAGAGCAACAGGAGCAAAAAGAGCAACAGGAGCAAAAAGAGCAACAGAAGCAAAAAGAGCAACAGAAGCAAAAAGAAAAUGUGACAACUAGUAGUAGUAAAAAAGAAGAGAUCAUGGGUAAUCAUUUUUUACAAAGUGACCACGACCAGGUGUUGGAAACAACAAAAAUGAAAGAUCAUAAUACAGAUUCAAAUGAAUAUAUACAAUCGGUAGAGAAUAAUAAAAACGAAGAGGAAGCAUUUAUUUUAUACUAUCCUUUAUAUUUGAAAAGUAUAUAUAAUAGUUGUUUUGAAAACACCACACAACAGUCUUGUUACAAGUAUGAUGAUAUAACUGUCUUAAAUAAUGAAGAAAAACAUCUAAUGCUAAAUAAUGUACCAUUUACUGUUUUUCAUGGGGAACAACAAGGUUGUGUUGAUUAUAUAUUUUAUUCGUAUAAAAACCUUAAAAAAGUGUCGUGUACCGAUAUGCCUUCGUUCGAUGAAUUAAAAAAACAUGGGUGUCUCCCUAAUAAGGUACUAGUAUAUAUUUAUAAAAAAUGAAGUCUAUGUAUGUAGUUGGUUAUGUAUAUAUCUGUUCAUCCGUUUAUCCUUUUGUUCAUUUACCUUUUUUUUUUUUUUUUUGUUGUAAGUGUAUUUGUAAUUGUGAUUUUCUUUUGCUUAAAUUAAAAAUGUUAAAAAUAUAUGUUCUAUAAUUGUUUAUUUAUUUACUUGAUUAUUUAUUAUUAUUAUUAUUAUUAUCGUUUUUAAACAUAAAUAUUUAUGUGUAAAAAAAAAUUCUCAUAUAAUACUCCAAUUAUAUGUAUUAAAAGAUCAAUAUAUAAAUAUUUGAUAAUAAUAAAAAAGACCCUUUAUCAGAUCGGUUCA